GAAGGUGGCAAGCGUUACUCGGAAUUACUAGGCGUAAAGGGCAGGUAGGUGGUUUGGUAAGUCUGUUGUGGAAGCUCCCGGCUUAACUGGGAGAGGUCAACGGAAACUGCCAGGCUUGAGUAUAGGAGAGGUUACUGGAAUUCCCGGUGUAGCGGUGAAAUGCGCAGAUAUCGGGAGGAACACCAAUGGCGAAAGCAGGUAACUGGACUAUUACUGACACUAAGCUGCGAAAGCUAGGGGAGCAAACAGGAUUAGAUACCCUGGUAGUCCUAGCUGUAAACGAUGCACAUUAGACGUGAGGGGUAUCGACCCCCUUCGUGUCGACGCAAACGCAUUAAAUGUGCCGCCUGGGGAGUACGGCCGCAAGGUUG
rnacentral:rRNA from 1 species